GUCACACAUUACUUCUAAGAGAAAAUUUCUCUUUUGAAAAUUGGAUUUGUAAAAAGAAAGUUGAAAGAGAAAGUAAACAGGGUCAAACCUCCCCAGAAUUCUUGUGGGUUCUUCAAAACUGCAAUAAACCGAAGUUCAGCCAGAAUGUAGCACCAAGGCCAAGAGAACGUCAGCUUGGUUAACAAGCAAAAUCAAAGAAGGUAUUAGAGGAAAGAAAUAAUAGAACCAUAGAAUUCUAGAGUUGGAAGGGAUCCCGAGAUUCAUUUGGUCCAACAACUUCCCUACAAGGAAAUAUUACAUAUUUGGGACUCUGGUUUAGGAAAAAGGUGAAUGGGGAUGGGGGAGCAUGGUAUAAGAGUAUAAAAUUGUGCCUUGUGUGAAGAAAGUGGAUAGAGGGGGGAUUUUCCUCCAUUUCUCGUGAUACUAGAAUCUGAUGUCAUCCAGUGAAGCUGAAUGUUACAAGAUCCAGGAAAGGCAAAGAAGUACUUCUUCACAGAGUGCAUAGUUAAACUAUGAAAUCUUCUUCUAUACGAUUUAGUAAUGGUAUAGACAAAUUCAUGAAGGAUAAGGCUACGAGUAACUACUAGCCAUGAUGGCUGUGCACAACAUCUGGUAUCAGGCACUAUGUCUCUGAAUGCUGGGGAGCACAAGCAAGGAUAGUGCUCUUGCACUCAUGUACUACUUGUAGGCUUAUCAUGGGUCAUAGGCUGGUCACUAAAAACAGAAUACUGGACAGAUGGGUCUUUCAUCUAAUCCAGCAGGUUCCUUCAUAUAUUCUUAUGCUCCUUUUGAAGAAUUUUUGUUGGAAACCAAGACUCCUGGCUCCUUGCUGUAGCUAAAAUGAAUAUACAGUAUAUUGGGGUCAGUGGGAAGAGCCAUGAGCUGGGAAUUCUGAUUCCUAACGUCUAUAGCAACAUCUUUUGAGUUGUGUGAAUAUGUUUUAGAACUGUAGAAAAGGCACAAAGCUUUGAAUCAGCCCAUCUGACAUUUCAACUUUGGGCACCUACUGAUUAGUUUGGAAAAGAAGUCAGACCAGCUGUUCCCCAGAUGUUGCAUGCCAUGUAGUGGUCAGAAGCAGUGCCUGAUUUUUUUUUGGGGGGGGAGGAGGAAUGUCAAAUAUAUUAUGCCCAUCUGAAAGUCUAUUCUGUAACCUGUCCCAGUUCAUUUCUAGAGGUGGGUAAGCCAUGGCUCACCAGUGCUUGAGGCUCAGAAAGGUGCAUGAUUGAAGGCACUCCUCUCUUCUAAUCAUCACUCUGGCACUUAGAAAUGGACUUGAAAUAUUUUGACCUAUACUCUAAGCAUGCAAGUGGGCACAUGGAAUGCUUUGUCUCUCAUGCCUGGACCUGUUCUGGAGGCAUCUUCCUCCAAUCUGUCCUCCAACCAUCAAUCUCAUCCUAGUGAGUAAACAAAUUAAGCAGGCAGGCAAAGAGAGGCGGCUGCUCGGAAGUCUUUGCGGGUAGAUGGCUGCAUGCCUGACCUUUCCCUCCGCCAAGCCCAGGUGCUGCUAAUGUGGUGUCAAGUAUUAAUUACCUUCCAAAUGAGGCCAGGAGGGUCAGGCUAUCUCCCUGCAGCUGGUUCCUCCCAGAGUGAGAGGGAAGCUGAGCAGAAAGGACAGAGGAGAACCCUUCUGGGAGGGCAGAAUUUGCAGUUUGAGCUGUAGAUUGAUUUGUUGGUAUAAUGUGUUAAAGAGGCAAUAAACUCCAUAAAGCUUACUAUCAAGACAGUGUUAUCCCAAUAGGCAUUCCAUAUGUGCCAUUUGUCAUGAAUAUUCCUGCCUUGUUAAGAGUGUAACCGUAAGCAGGGGUCAUAGAAUCAUAGAAUUGUAGAGCUGGAAGGGAUCUCGAGGGUCAUCAAGUCCAACCUCCUGCAAUGCAGGAAUCUCAACUCAAGCAUCCAUGACAGAUGGCCAUCCAACCUCUGCUUAAAAACCUCCAAGGAAAGAGAGUCCACCACCUCUCAUGGGAGUCUGUUCCACUGUCAAAUAGCUCUUACUGUCAGAAUGUUCCUCUUGAUGUUUAGUCGGAAUCUCCUUUCUUGUAACUUGAAGCCUUUAGUUUGAGUCCUAGCUUCUGGUACAGGAGAAAACAAGCUUGCGCCAUCCUCCAUGUGACAGCCCUUAGGUCAGGGCAGCCCUUGGCAACAUUUGACCUCGACAGAGCCUAGUCCCUCCUUCCCAAAUCCUGGUGCCUUGCUUAUCCAGCUUUGGGAAGACAGCAUGAGGGUGGCAGGGGUGUGUGUCAAAUUUUGACCUUGCUGCCCCCUCCUGAGCAAAGCUAUAGUGUGCAGCCCAUGGGUACCAUUUUGAAGUACCUUUGUGGCCCAUUUGGUAUGAAUAGUUGGACUGCCCUGCUUUAGAUAUUUGAAGAUGUCUAUCAGAUCUCCUCUCAGGACUCAUCUACACUGCUGCAAAUACGUUUUAAAUGUGUUGUAAAGUGCAAUAUACAAAUGUGACCCUAAAUGGUGAUAGUGAACUAUGCAAACCUCAAAUGUAUUUUUCAAAACUUUUUCAUGGGGGUUUUCUAUGUGUGUAGAUUCCAUCUCAGUCUCCUCUAGACUCUACAUGAGUCCUAGAAUGUGUUUUCACUGCUGUGGCUCAACCUUGAAAUACAAACGAAGGGGGCUUCUGGAGCAUGUGUAGAGUGUACAUGAGCUAGCAUGCAAGGAAAACCUGUCUACAAAUUGCAGGAAUGUAGGUCAUUUCCUGCGACCUUUCAGCAUGCAGAAGAUGUGGCAUCAAUAGCUAUGGAGCAGUGGUGGUGCAAGAGGAAAAAUGAUGGGGGCACAGACAGGGCCAAGUUACAAGGCCCACCCUAAACAUAUUCUCUGAAGUAAGUCCUAUUGGUUUGAGCUGAGUCUUCAAUAAGAAUGCUUAGGUCUGCAGCUUUAAUUUAAUCUAUUAAUGUAUUAAUUGCAUGUGGAAAGUGCUUUUCCUUCAAGUAACCAUAGGUAUCUGGUAGUGAUGGGGACGUGAGCUACUUGUUGGGGGUUGCUGCCCUUGCUUCCCCUUCGUGCUGCCUUGGGCAGUGGGGAACCUGUAUGGCUCAUGAAAUCCUGCUGAUCAUGUGAGAUUCCUCUCUGGGCUUCUUCUUUUUUAAAAAAGCCUUGCCUUGUUAGAUUAGAAAUAAAGCCAGUAACCCUAUAAGUGUAUACACAGUGCUCUUUCUGGUAAUAAAUAAAUAAAUAAAUAAACAAAUCAGGUCCCGCUAUUCAUAUAUUGGUAAAAGCAUUGUGGGUUCCAGUGCAAAAUGGCUGUCGUGGACAGAGAAAAUAGAGGUGCUGCUAAUCGGUGUCAGUGAGAACUAUCACAAAAAAGGCCUAGGUGCACAUAAAUAAGAACUAAAGAACAAAUCUAAUAUAUAAAAAUAGAUUCAACCAUAAAACUAGUAGGAGCAAUAAAAUAUCAAACCGCAUGCAAUAAUCAGCCUAAAAAAAACCCAACACGAGGAGCAUCUUCAGUGACUCACUCAAACGGCCUGGCACUGGCAAGUCUCCUUUUUUAUGUAAGAGGCUUGCAGUGUUGUGACAACUACAGAGUUAAAAACAAAGCAACCUGGGCAUCAGGGCGGGUCCAAGACAUUUUGCUGCCUGAGGUGGAACAGCAAAUGGCACCCAUCUCUGGUCAAGUCAAGAGUCAUAGUGUCCUAAACUGGCACCUGAGGCAGAAAAUCCCACAAAUGCCUGUCCCUGGGAAUAUAAUAAUAGCAAUAAUAAUAAAUUAAAAUGUAAGAAUUUUCUGCCCUUCUAUCAGAGGUGGUUUUAGGGUAGAGUGACUGGUUUGGCUGCAGGGGGCGCCACAACAAUGCUGUAGAAUGGAGUGUGAGAGCCCAAAGUCCGCCAUCUCUUCCAUUAUGCUCAAAGUCAGCUUCCUGAGAUGAGCAUCUCACUCGACCUAACAGCAGGGCUGAUACAGGUAGGCAUUCUAACAUAACAUUGUACCCCAAAGAGACAAAUAGAUGAGUUUACUCUGCAGUCCGGACUCCUGUUUCCAGUGAUAAUUAAAACAAUACAUGAAGUGAAUUCAGCCUGGCAUUUUACCACAUGUUUUGCAUGACAACCUAGGUGUGUGCAUGCCUAGCUGUCAAUACAUUUUGCUAAUGGAGGCAGAACGAGAAAUGGAUCCCCCAGUGCAAUGCAAGGUAUACAGUGGUACCUCAGGUUAAGUACUUAAUUCAUUCCGGAGGUCCGUACUUAACCUGAAACUGUUCUUAACCUGAAGCAGCACUUUAGCUAAUGGGGUCUCCUGCUGCUGCCGCGCCACCAGAGCACGAUUUCUGUUCUCAUGCUGAAGCAAAGUUUUUAACCUGAAGCACUAUUUCUGGGUUAGCGGAGUCUGUAACCUGAAGCAUAUGCAACCUGAAGCGUAUGUAACCUGAGGUACCACUGUAUAGCACCCAAGAUCAGUCAGGUUCAUUUAGGACCUGAGGCAGAAGAAACAUAUUACAUAUUGAGAAAGUGGAGCUGGUUGUGAGGGGGAAAUGGAUUGCAAAAGAUUUUAACAGAGUAUUGCUGCUUUGGUUGAAUAGUCAUUGUGUUUAUCCACUAUACAUUUGAGGUUUGCAAAGGAAACCAAGACUUUAUCUUUUACAUUUCCUGACAUUUCAGAUCUACUGGUUUACUUCUUUUUUUAUUUAAACCCAUGUUAACUAAGAAUAAUAGUUUAUGCAUAUGGUGACAUGAAUGGCAACUUUUCCAACAAUCUCACAAUAUCUUUUUGCGUUGCUAUAAAUGCCUACAGACCUGCCCCUCCAAUUUAAAUACCAACAUCAUUGAUUUAUUAAUCACCUUCUAAAGAAGCAUCUCAAGGCAAGCCACACAGAAGAUAAUUAAAACAGUUAAAAACUC
rnacentral:lncRNA from 1 species